CUCAGGCAUGGCUACCAUGCCACCUCCCAUGACAGACUCUACUCCUCAAAGAGUGAGGAGAAAUAAACUGUUCCUUAAGGGCAGAUAAGCAGCAACAAAGGCUCGUGAGUCUGUAGUCCCACAUCUGUGUGAGAGCAAGGGAUGAAGAAGCUGACUUGGAGGAAAUGAGACACAUUGCUACUGAAAACAGAUGAGGAAAAGGUGUCUGGAAGCGUGAGUCAAGAAGUGCACAAGGCUCAAACCAAGGGCCCCUACUGAGCUGCACUGAGCUACCCUACCACUGAAGAGAGAAACUGUGAGAAUGGAGAUGUUCAGUUCUUUGUUUCUAUUAACUUUCGGAGGAAGGGCGCCUUGGAGAGGAUAUUCCCAAAGUGGAGAGACUGGAAGACAAAGUGAAGGGUGCCAUUUGCUUACCAUCCAAAUAACUUGACUUCCAGAUCCACAGGCACCCACUCCAUGAGACCACUCUGGGAUACUUCCCUGCACUACAGUUGAGGGCUCUUUAGAAUUGCAAUGACUGCAGAGGAUGCGUAAUCUAGAGAAGCUACAACAUUCAUCAUACCCAAAUUAUCAGUCUACCCAGAAGAAUCCAAAUGAGUCAUCUGUAACUGCUUUUUCACUUGCUAUGAUAAAACAUAUGACCAAAGCAACUUGUAGAAGGAAGGGUUUAUUUGGGCUAAUGCUACCAGAGGGAUCAGAGUCUAUCGUGGUGGGAGAGCAGCUGGCAGACACAUCUUGAACAACAAGCACCAAACUGAAAGAGUGAACUGGGAAUCACAGGAGGCUUUUGAAACCUCAAGUCCCACCUUUAUUGACAUACUUUUUUCAGUAAGGUGGGUCAUACCUUCUAAAUAUAUCCAUACAGGGCUUCCAGUGGGGGACCAACUAUUUAAAUGUCUGAAACCAUGGAUGGCAUUUUAUUGAAACCCCAUAUCUGAAAAAUCAGGUUUGUGACCAUGUAUAGCUCUAGGUCUUAGCCCACAAACAACUUACAAGCACUACAAGUUGGGGUUAAGGAGAAUGCAGCUCAAUUGGUAGAGGUUUUACCCAGAAUUCUCAAAGCCCUGGAUGGAUUCCUCAUGAACCAGGCAUGACUGCACACUCCUAUAAUCUUAGCUCUUGGAAGGUGGAGACUGGAGGAUCAGAAAUUGAAGGUCUUCCUCUGCUACAUAAUAUAUUUGGGCCAGAACAGGAUGCCACUUAUGACCCUGUCUUGCAAAAAUAAAAAUAAGAGUCGUGGAGAUGAUCUAACUAGUAAAGUGCUUCCACUGUAGUCCUGAGGGCCUGAGGUAGAUCUGGCAGAAGUCUUGUUAAAAAGCUAGUCAUAGUAGCCAGGGCUUGUAAUCCUAGUGCUUGGAGAUAGAGGCAAGCAGAUUCCUAGCGCUUCUUGGUUAGUUUGCCUAGUUCUUGAUGAGUUUCUAGAAACUCUACUUCUUGAUGAGUUUCAAGAGAACCCUUUUCCAAAAAUAGUGGAGUGAGAUGUUGAGGAGGAAAGACAUCUGACAUUGAACUCUGGUCAUCCAUCACAUGUGCAAUCAAACAUGUCAAUAUGUACAGCACAUGUACACAGAGGGGGAAGGAAGAAUCAGCCUUCCAUCCCAGAACAAAGAAAAAAAGCAAUAAUUUACUCAAAUGUUGGUAUUGUAUGUAAGAAGAUACAUCUGUAGCAACUACCUCUGUUUAUUCUCUGCUUAUUUCCAGGUCUAUUCAGACUGAAAUGUGUUACUGCUUUAGGGCUUUAAAUAUUGAAAUCAUAUGUUUUCCAUUUUGAUCAGGAACCCAGGAAGAACAAGGGAGUGGCAUUUACUGAGCUAUGGCACAAUUAAGAUUAUACAUUGUCAUGUCUCUUUAGUUUGUUGUGAUUUGUGAAAGAUGUGUCUAGUCUCUAUUGUUUUUAUUAUUUUUCAGCUGUCCUAAUUAUUUCUUUCAUUUGAUUUCAAUUCAGCUAUCAAAGAGGAACUGUCUUACCAGGUGGUUAUUAUGUUUUUUUCCCCUUAAAGCCUUUUAACUCUUAUGUAAAAAGAUGUCCAAAGAAAUCAUUGUUUUGACAUUUGCUUGUAGCAUACUGAUGACCCCACUGAAGGGAGCACCUGUGUUAUCAAUGCUCAUUUCAGCUGGUUUUCCUCUUACUCAUGCCCAAAAGAUAGGAUGUAGGCUCAACUUUCCAAAAUCUUUCAUUUCCCUUGCUCUGUGAGUUAGGUGGUAAAGUAAUUAUUAGAGAUGAAUACAUGUCUAAAAAAAGUAAUCUAAACUAGCAUAGAAUGUGUGCUGGAUAGUUUUAUGUCAAUUUGACACAAACUAAAGUCAUCUGAGAGGAGAGAGGCUCAAAAAAAAAAUGCCUCCAUAAGAUCAGGCUGCAUGAAAGUCUGUAGGGCAUUUUCUUUAUUAGUGAUUGAUGGGGAAGGGCCCAGCAAUUUGUGGGUGGUGCCAUCCUUGCACUAAUGGUACUAGGGUCUAUAAAAAGCAGCUGAGCAAGCUAUGUUGAGCAAGCCAGUAAGCAGCACUCCUCUAUGACCUCAGCAUCAGCUCUUACUUCUAGGUUCCUGUCCUGCUUAAGUUUCUGUCUUGACUUCCUUUGAUACUGAACAGUGCUGUGGAAGUGUAAGCCAAACAAAUUCUUUCCUCCCCACAUUACUUUGGUCAUGGUGCUUAUUCACAGCAAUAGAAAUCCUAUCUAAGAUAUACUGCUUGCUUACACUUUUAAUUUUCAUGAGUUGGAUUUUAUUACUCUUAUAUUUUAAUACGUGAGAUAUUCUUCCUGAGAAAGAUGAAGAGUGGCUCUAGAGGUCAAGUUGACAAUAAUGUCAAUGCCACCUCCAUGAGGACUAAUGGGGUAGUUUCCUGUUUAUCUUUAGGAAGUGGAACAAGUACCAUCUCAUUACUUAAUGGUUAAAUCUAUUCUAUUCUGCUAAACAGACUGGUUUUCAAAUGCCUCCUGAAUAUUUAUGUUCAUCCCUAUAGAUUAGUGCUGCCCUCAACAUUAGCUGGGGAAACCUCUCUCUAUAGUUGCCCAGUGGUCAAUGAAGAUAUUUCUAACUUGUCAAAGAGCUGAGGAUGAGAAGAGUGCUCAGCUCUAAAUGGGACAGCUAUGUCUAUACUACGCAAAGCUCAGGGAACACCAUAGAGGUGUGGGGAACCAUAAGAUCUGCAGGAUAGUGAGGGAUGCUACCUGGACGUGACUGGCCAGGGCAUUCAGAACUCACUGUGGCUAAGAGGUCUAAACAGGGCCACGCCAACAAGAUUGGUCAACAUUCCAACAGGUCACCUGAAUCAGGCUCAGUCAAUUAUUCUUAAUUAAUCAGGAGGGGGAGAAAAAGAAAAAGAAAGAGGUAUGAAGAUGGGAAAAGGAAAUGUUGGGGGAUAGUGGGGAGUGGGGGUUGACAGAGGGAAGUUGGGCAUGGAUAGGAUCAAGAAGCUGUCAAAGAUUAAAUAGAAGAUAUUUACAAAACAUUAAUAAUGUGGACUCUGUUCUACCACUUCCCUUGUGAGACAUGGUGCUGUGUUCAUUGGUGUUCAUGCCUCUGAUUUCUACCAAACCUCAUUCAGAAGGGACUAGGGUGUCCUGACCCAUUUAGAGCCACCAUCUCACCCUAUGACAAAUGUCCUUAGAACGCCUUCAUUGACUGGCAUAGUGAUGUUAGUUUGACAGGGCCACCUUCACCUUUCAGUCCUAGAAAUUUCCAGACUGAUCGUAUGGUGGGGAGUGAUAUACUAUGUGGGGGCAUGAGGUUACUACCUUGACACUCAGGCUCCCAAGAAGGUCUUUGUGUGUGUAAACACUUUACCCCACAGUCAACAGCACACACACUGCUGCAGAGAGGCAUUCCCAGUAGCCUCAUUAGAUCUCUCUAUCAAUUUUUGGCAAGUACUCAAAAGAGCUGAUGAGGUUCCCCACACAUUCUGCCUGCUUUUCUUUUCUUUCUUUCUGAAUUCCUUCUCCCCUACCCCUUACCAUAUGCUAUACGUGCAUGUACAUAUGGGUGCUCCUGGAGGUCAGAGGAACACAUCAGGCAUCCUGCUCUAUCCCUUGAGACAAGAUCACUUACCAAAUCUCAAGUUAUUCUAGCUUCCAGAAAACCCUGCCAUCCUCCUGUCUCUGACCCUCACAAUGUAAUGGCCACUCCUGGCUUUUUACAACAGUGCUGGGAAGUCAACCUUAGGUUGGCGAGCUUUUAUAACAGGGACUCUUACUGAAAAGCCAUUCUUCAGCUAACCCUACCUUUCCUAGUGGGAUUGAUCAAAACUCCCCUGUGUGAGGGCAUUGUGUCCAGGUAGAGACCCCUGAGCUUUGGUCUUUUUCUCUGUAAAAUGUGCUGUUGGCCUCUCAGAAGAGUGUGAAGGUUUAGAGCAUAUGGGAAAGUGCCAUUAAGAUGGUCCUAGUAUAUGUAAAUUCUUGUUCUUCCCCUCGGAGACAUUUCAACCUCAAGUCAUUUCCUCAAAUCAUAGCACAAGUCAAUAGGAGUAUGUGGAUUCCUCACAAGGGACAGCAUGCAUAUGCAAUAUAGAAUCCUCACAUAUGACAGUUGUUUCUAGAAGAACUGCAUACUAUGUGAAAGUCAUCUUGGAACUGGGAUUUCAAAAUUUGACAAAGAUAAUAAUAAAUUGUAAUAAAAUUUAAGCUGAGCCUCAGCUUAAAAUACAGGCCACAUCAGGAAUGGAAUAUAGCCUUCCAGCUUUCUUUGCUGUAGGAAGUCAUGCAGACAGACAGGCUGUGUACAACACACACUAGCACCCAUAUCUGCACACGCAAGGCUCCCAGGCCAUUGCUGCAAGAAGAGGCUCGCAGUCAUACACACAUCUGUAUAUCUGUCUCCCAUGACACAGGUGGCUGGAAGUUGCUCAGCUAUAGGUGAGCCAACCACCUCUCUGUGCUCCUCUAUGCCAAGAAGGGCUCCAUUGUGACUCAUAGAGCCACCCCAGUACCAACAUCUCCCUACCAGUUUGUAUCCUCUGGAAAUGUCCUGCCAAUAGCAAAGAAAGGCUCAUUUGUGGAAGUAUGCAGCUCUUUUCUACAGUAUCCAAUCAUGCAACUCAAAACUGAAGACUUUGGCUCUAUUUUAGUACCUCUGGGAAGGGGAGAGUACAUCACCACCAUCUUUCCUGAGAAUUGGCAGGGGGGUUUCUGUGGCUGAGCUUGGAUAAAAACAUGGUCUAACUAAAACAUAUAGAAUUGCUAGAAUAAUUUUUGCUAUGCCUGGAAAGCUAUUUAGAAAAUACAGAUGAUAAUGGAACAGUGGCCUUUCCUUAAGACUAUGGGCAUGCUAAUACUAUGGCAGCUUUUGAGAACAGAAGAAAAGUGGGGUGAUUUGAUUCUGACCUGGGACAGUUUCCCACUUCUGAUUUCUCACUCUUUUGUGCCAACUUGGAUCCUGCUUCUUUUCCUGUCUCUUCCUCAGGGAGGGCUUCCCUCACCUACUAGAGCCUGUACUUGUGACACUAGUGGUCACCUAUGAUAUACUAGUGUCUCUGUGGAAAAGAGUCACAGAGAGAGUCCAGAACCAUGACUCUCAUCCAAAUCUUGGCUCUGCACCUAUCUUACUUUGUGACAUUGAACAAUUAUUUUUAUCUGUCUCACUUUCACACAUGUAAAAUGAUAUAAUAAUGGAGUUGUUAUAAGAAUCAAAUACAAAACCAAAAAAAAGCAAAAGCAAAAUAAAACAACAAUAUCCUAAAAAAAUCCCAACCAACCAACCAACCAACCAAAAAAACCUACCAACAAUAAAUCCAAUGCUUUUAAAGACUCACAUAGAUCCAUGCACGCUGCAUAAUUCAAUAAAUAUAAACAUAAAAUAUCCUCAUACCAAAGUGAAUUGUGAGCGUCUUAGGAUUAGGUUGUCUUGCCCAUAUUUCUGUAGGCUCCAAAGCCCAUUAAUUUUUUAAUGAUUGAUCAAAUGCUUUCCAAGAGAAAUGUCUGACUUCUUGAAAGUCCAGAAAUUAGAGAAUCAAAUCUGAUGUGUAACUUGCCACAGAAGCGGUGUAAGGUUAGGCAUAAGGUGAAAGGACACAAGAAUCUACCAGUGGAAGGCUCCAUCCUGUGAAACUGCAAAUACAUUUGGAAGGGGCAAGCCUCAACAAGAAUAUUGUGUGAUGGUUUAUAUCUGCUAGGCCCAGGGAGAGACACUAUUUGAAGGUGUGGCUCUGCUGGAGUAGGUGUGUCACUGGGUGUGGGCUUUAAGACCCUCAUCCUAGCUGCCUGCAAGCCAGUCUUCCACUAGCUGACUUUAGAUAAAGAUGUAGAGCUCUCAGAUCUGCUGGCACCAUGCCUGCCUAGAUGCUGCUAUACUCCCACCUUGAUGAUGAUGAUGGCCUGAACCUCUGAACCUGUAAUCCAGCCCCAAUUAAAUGUUGUCCUUUAGAAGACUUGCCUUGGUUAUGAUGUCUCUUCAUAGCAGUAAAACCCCAACUAAGACAUAUUGAAAAAGGAGUUUCUUGCUCCCUAGAAGCCACACAGGGAAGCAGACAAAUGCCAAUGAUGACCUGUUGUCUAAGGGCCACAGACACCCUCCCAUGCUGGCAGAAAUUGGCAGCCUUAUCUCCAUGGUUUUGGUCUUGCAGAUAUGAAGGAACAAAAAUUGCAGGGGACUAUGGAGUUUUGUAACACCCUUCUAGAGAUCUGCUGAGGCCAGGUCACGACAUGAAGCUAAAGCAAAUUUCAGCAUGUUCAAUAUGUCAGAAUCAUGGGGUAUAAGAUAUUCACUGAAGAAAGUUUCAGGCACAGAGAGAAGGUAGGUAAAGAGAGAGGCUGUGUGUGUUGCAGGUAGCAGAGCUGGAGGAGUUGUACUGUGCAAGAACUUUGGAGCCCAGAUAAUUGUAUCAUGAGCCCCAGAAAUCACACAUGGAGCUACAAGAUCUGGUGUUUGUCCUGCUGAGUUUUUGGCCUGCUUUGUUCUGAGAUUUCCUUGAUAUUCUCCAAUCCUACCCUCUGGGAGGAAUGUGAUGAUUCUGCUCCACCUUAUGCUGAAAUGAUUUUUAACUUUACAGGCUAUCACAGGUAAAAGUUUAUCUUGCUUUUCCAAAGGGACUUUGCACUUCUAAACAGUGUUGGAAUGAUUAAAAGGCAUGAAGCUGCAUUGAAUAUGUUUUGCACUGUGAUAUGUUCAGGAGCCUGUGGUGAAAAGAAGUAGAAGAUUAUGGCCUAAAAGUUGUGUUUUAAGGUGUCUAGUUGACAAAGGGUGGAAUUAUGAAGUUUUACAGAAUCAAGAAUCAUCUAGAACAGAAACUCCUGGACAUGUCUGUGAGGAAUGUUCUAGACUGGAUUAACUGAGGUGGGAAGACUCAUCUAAAUGUGCACACCAUCAUCCCAAGAGCUGGGGCUCAUAUUACACAGAAGUAGACACAUGCUGAGCUCCAGCCUUCAUUCCUCUAAGCUUCCUGGCCAUGAACACAAUGUGACUUAUGCUCUGGCUGACAUGACUUUUUGACCAUGAUCCACCCUUGAGAUGAGAUUCAAAAUAAACCCUUUCUCUCUUAAGUUGCUUUUGUCAGAAUUCUUCUGCAGCUACAGAAGUAACCGAGGUCAAAGGCAUAAGUAGAUUUAGCAUUAGCUUUACACUGUCUUAUUUAGAUUAAGGGUAGAGCUUAGUUAGCAGAACACUUGCAUAAGAAUCACUAGAGAAGCCCUGAGUUUAACCUCUAGUCCUGGAGGUGGAGAUCUACCAAAAGGGUGAUGCUGCUCUUAUUUCAUUUUUUUCAUGAAUAUCUCUUUUGUAUCUUUAAAGAUAAUUCUUUCUUUAUAAAGAUAUCUUUCUUGAUGCCUUCUAGAAAUCCACUGAUAUAUGUAAAGAAAAUAGCUUCAAAGUCCACAUUAUGCAUCAGAGCAUGGAGUAAAAGUGUUUUACGGAUUCACAUUGAUACAUUAUUUGUAACCAAAAUCAAAAAUUUAACCAAAUGGUUCAUGUUGGA